rnacentral:rRNA from 1 species
GACAGAGGGUGCAACCGUUGUUCGGAAUUACUGGGCGUAAAGCGCGUGUAGGCGGCCCUGCAAGUCGGAUGUGAAAUCCCACGGCUCAACCGUGGAAGUGCAUUCGAAACUGCAGGGCUAGAGUCCUGGAGAGGAAGGUGGAAUGCUUGGUGUAGAGGUGAAAUUCGUAGAUAUCAAGCGGAACACCGGUGGCGAAGGCGGCCUUCUGGACAGUGACUGACGCUGAGACGCGAAAGCGUGAGGAGCAAACAGG